AACGAACGCUGGCGGCAGGCCUAACACAUGCAAGUCGAGCGAGAUCUUCGGGUCUAGCGGCGGACGGGUGAGUAACGCGUGGGAAUAUGCCCUUCUCUGCGGAAUAGCCUCGGGAAACUGAGCGUAAUACCGCAUACGCCCUUUGGGGGGAAGAUUUAUCGGAGAAGGAUUAGCCCGCGUUGGAUUAGGUAGUUGGUGGGGUAACGGCCUACCAAGCCGACGAUCCAUAGCUGGUUUGAGAGGAUGAUCAGCCACACUGGGACUGAGACACGGCCCAGACUCCUACGGGAGGCAGGAGUGGGGAAUCUUAGACAAUGGGGGCAACCCUGAUCUAGCCAUGCCGCGUGAGUGAUGAAGGCCUUAGGGUUGUAAAGCUCUUUCAGCUGGGAAGAUAAUGACGGUACCAGCAGAAGAAGCCCCGGCUAACUCCGUG
rnacentral:rRNA from 1 species